rnacentral:rRNA from 1 species
UGCGUAGGCGGAUUUAUAAGUCAGUGGUGAAAUCCUGCAGCUUAACUGUAGAACUGUCAUUGAUACUGGUUUUCUUGAAUUUAGUUGAGGUAGGCGGAAUGUGUAAUGUAGCGGUGAAAUGCUUAGAUAUUACACAGAACACCGAUUGCGAAGGCAGCUUACUAAACUAUGAUUGACGCUGAGGUACGAAAGCGUGGGGAGCGAACAGGAUUAGAUACCCUGGUAGUCC